AUAUGGUCCUUAGAGUUAGAGGAACCAUCACCUUUUCUAUUUGCAUGAGUUGGCCUUGGAGUAUCGAAUGCAGAUUCACUUCAAUUCGUUUUCGAAGAUAGUCAAGGAGGACCAGGUUCUAUCCAAUAUAUGAAUCGGAGACGGCGAAUACAAACUUUCAAUGGCAGACGAAUCAACGAUCGGACUGUGAGUCAAAGUGCUGAAGAUGGUGAAACCGCCCAAUGAACCCAAUAUGAGGGGACGGGUACGAGUCAUCAUCGGAGACGGCAUCAUGGGGUAUCAGACUUCGAAAACCUCGAAAGGAAUUUCGUCAGUGGAGAAAGCGAAAGCUUAAGGCUUCAAAUCUCUGAUCUGCGAAAAGAAAUAGUGUCGAUAGGAAACUAUUGUAAUCGGAUAAAUUGGCUAAUUCUAGAAGCUUUAGUCAAAGAACAACAGCAAGAAGUUAGAAGGCUUAGGGCCCUGUUAACUCAAAAUCAGUUGCAUUAUGCAAAAAGAUUUAAGAAGUACAGAGAGUUAAAAAUAAUAAUUAGACUGGGGUAGAGCUAGACAUCCAGGAUUCAAAGUCACUGGGAGAUGUAGGCAUAAUUGUUAAGUAGGGUUAGGGUAAUCGUUAAGUAGGGUUAGGGUAUAUAAAUGUAAAUGUAAUUGUACAGUUGUUGCAUCUUGUAUUCUUUCUCUAAAAUAGUGUAAAUUCUCUAUAAUUC